ACGUCCCUGCCCUUUGUACACACCGCCCGUCGCUACUACCGAUUGAAUGGCUCAGUGAGGCGUCCGGACUGGCCCAGAGAGGUGGGCAACUACCACUCAGGGCCGGAAAGCUCUCCAAACUCGGUCAUUUAGAGGAAGUAAAAGUCGUAACAAGGUCUCCGUUGGUGAACCAGCGGAGGGAUCAUUACCGAGUUUACAACUCCCAAACCCCUGUGAACAUACCACUUGUUGCCUCGGCGGAUCAGCCCGCUCCCGGUAAAACGGGACGGCCCGCCAGAGGACCCCUAAACUCUGUUUCUAUAUGUAACUUCUGAGUAAAACCAUAAAUAAAUCAAAACUUUCAACAACGGAUCUCUUGGUUCUGGCAUCGAUGAAGAACGCAGCAAAAUGCGAUAAGUAAUGUGAAUUGCAGAAUUCAGUGAAUCAUCGAAUCUUUGAACGCACAUUGCGCCCGCCAGUAUUCUGGCGGGCAUGCCUGUUCGAGCGUCAUUUCAACCCUCAAGCCCUCGGGUUUGGUGUUGGGGAUCGGCGAGCCCUUGCGGCAAGCCGGCCCCGAAAUCUAGUGGCGGUCUCGCUGCAGCCUCCAUUGCGUAGUAGUAAAACCCUCGCAACUGGAACGCGGCGCGGCCAAGCCGUUAAACCCCCAACUUCUGAAUGUUGACCUCGGAUCAGGUAGGAAUACCCGCUGAACUUAAGCAUAUCAAUAAGCGGAGGAA
rnacentral:rRNA from 1 species